UCGUCACACUAUCAUUAACUGAAUCCAUAGGUUAAUGAGGCGAACCGGGGGAACUGAAACAUCUAAGUACCCCGAGGAAAAGAAAUCAACCGAGAUUCCCCCAGUAGCGGCGAGCGAACGGGGAGGAGCCCAGAGCCUGAAUCAGCAUGUGUGUUAGUGGAAGCGUCUGGAAAGGCGCGCGAUACAGGGUGACAGCCCCGUACACAAAAGCGCAUGUGCUGUGAGCUCGAUGAGUAGGGCGGGACACGUGGUAUCCUGUCUGAAUAUGGGGGGACCAUCCUCCAAGGCUAAAUACUCCUGACUGACCGAUAGUGAACCAGUACCGUGAGGGAAAGGCGAAAAGAACCCCGGCGAGGGGAGUGAAA
rnacentral:rRNA from 1 species